GAUGAACGCUGGCGGCGUGCCUAAUACAUGCAAGUCGAGCGAACAGAUGAGGAGCUGGCUCCUCUGACGUUAGCGGCGGACGGGUGAGUAACACGUGGAUAACCUACCUAUAAGACUGGGAUAACUUCGGGAAACCGGAGCUAAUACCGGAUAAUAUAUUGAACCGCAUGGUUCAAUAGUGAAAGACGGUUUUGCUGUCACUUAUAGAUGGAUCCGCGCCGCAUUAGCUAGUUGGUAAGGUAACGGCUUACCAAGGCAACGAUGCGUAGCCGACCUGAGAGGGUGAUCGGCCACACUGGCACUGAGACACGUUCCAGACUCCUACGGGAGGCAGCAGUAGGGAAUCCUCCGCAAUGGGGGAAAGCCUGACGGAGCAACGCCGCGUGAGUGAUGAAGGUCUUCGGCUCGUAAAACUCUGUUAGUAGGGAAGAAGAAAUGUGUAAGUAACUAUGCACGUCUUGACGGUACCUAAUCAGAAAGCCACGGCUAACUACGUG
rnacentral:rRNA from 1 species